GACGAACGCUGGCGGCGCGCUUAACACAUGCAAGUCGAGCGAAGCGGCGGACGGGUGAGUAACACGUGAGUAACCUGCCUUAGACAUUGGGAUAGCCUCGGGAAACCGGGAUUAAUACCGAAUAGUCUAAGAUGGACUCGCGUCCCAUUAGCUAGUUGGUGAGGUAACGGCCCACCAAGGCGACGAUGGGUAGCCGGCCUGGGAGGGUGAACGGCCAAAUUGGAACUGGGACACGGCCCAGACUCCUACGGGAGGCAGCAGUGGGGAAUCUUCCGCAAUGGACGAAAGUCUGACGGAGCAACGCCGCGUGAGUGAUGACGGCCUUCGGGUUGUAAAGCUCUGUUAAUCGGGACGCGGUACCGGAAUAGAAAGCCACGGCUAACUACGUGCCAGCAGCCGCGGUAAUUC
rnacentral:rRNA from 1 species